CCUACGGGUGGCAGCAGGGAGGAAUAUUGGUCAAUGGACGAGAGUCUGAACCAGCCAAGUAGCGUGAAGGAUGACUGCCCUAUGGGUUGUAAACUUCUUUUAUAUGGGAAUAAAAUGUUCCACGUGUGGGAUUUUGUAUGUACCAUAUGAAUAAGGAUCGGCUAACUCCGUGCCAGCAGCCGCGGUAAUACGGAGGAUCCGAGCGUUAUCCGGAUUUAUUGGGUUUAAAGGGAGCGUAGGUGGAUUGUUAAGUCAGUUGUGAAAGUUUGCGGCUCAACCGUAAAAUUGCAGUUGAAACUGGCAGUCUUGAGUACAGUAGAGGUGGGCGGAAUUCGUGGUGUAGCGGUGAAAUGCUUAGAUAUCACGAAGAACUCCGAUUGCGAAGGCAGUUCACUGGACUGCAACUGACACUGAGGCUCGAAAGUGUGGGUAUCAAACAGGAUUAGAUACCCUAGUAGUC
rnacentral:rRNA from 1 species